rnacentral:rRNA from 1 species
AUUGAACUGAAGAGUUUGAUCCUGGCUCAGAUUGAACGCUGGCGGCAUGCUUUACACAUGCAAGUCGAACGGCAGCACGGGUGCUUGCACCUGGUGGCGAGUGGCGGACGGGUGAGUAAUGCAUCGGAACAUGUCCAGGAGAGGGGGAUAACGCAUCGAAAGAUGUGCUAAUACCGCAUAUUCUCUGAGGAGAAAAGCAGGGGAUCGUAAGACCUUGCGCUUUUGGAGUGGCCGAUGCCUGAUUAGCUAGUUGGUAG